ACUAAUUUAUUUUUAAAAGUAACUAUUUUGUUGGUAAGUUUUGAAAAUCAUAGUUCAGUUCAGUUCACUUAUGUAUUUUUUUAAUCAUCUUAUUUUUUACACAAUUAUUUUUAAAAGACAUUUUGUGGAGUAAUUUUCCUCGACGAGGACGUUACAGAAGUUGUGCCGAGGUCAUGGGUUAAAGGUGAUGAAUGUUUUUGGCCAACAUUCAUUUCCGAGGAAAAAACCCAAAAGGCCAUAAAGAGGCAUGAAAUGCCAGGCCUUGGCUGGAAAAUCUUCAAAAUAAGAACACUCUUUGAAAAAGUAGAUGACUUCAGUAAGGCAAGGCAAAAAGCUGAAGGACUACAACAGAAAUGGAACAGCAGUCCUCCAGUCAGAGGAUGAGGGCUCCAUGGCAAAAAGGAGAAGAAAAGCGACACAUUACCCAGGAUUUGAAAACGGCAGUACUGACUCUGAAACUGAGCAGACUCCAAAAAGAAGACCAGAGUCUCGGCCUCGGCCUCGGCCUCAACCUCUCCCUAUUAGCGCUACCUGUAUUACUGCAAAAGCUAUGGGUUGGGAUGGGUUUAGGGUACAAAAAAAGCUUUUGUUCACGCCUGCCCAUUGAAUGAUGCUAUUGCCUUGUCAUUACAAUUUGAACUCUGUCUUCACUAGUUACCCAGGAUUUGAAAACGGCAGUACUGACUCUGAAACUGAGCAGACUCCAAAAAGAAGACCAGAGUCUCGGCCUCGGCCUCGGCCUCAACCUCUCCCUAUUAGCGCUACCCUUCCUAGUCUCCCUCCAGCCCCCCUCUCGGACAUCGCAGUGGACAUGGGUCAGGAGUCUCUGGACAACACAGGACAGGGAACCUAUACAGACAUAAGCUGGAAUGUGAGGAGGGAGUCAGACCCCUUCAAUGCCAGCGGUGGUGGAGAGCCUGGAGGUCACCUCCUCUUCAAGCCAACCUUCAGAGUUGGCCAUGAAACAGGGCCAAUUCCUUGCACACCGGCUCAGCUACAUGGCCUAUUGCUUUUGGAAAACCUAAAGCAGCAGGUUGCCCAACUCGCCACCACCGUGAACCUGCUCAUGGCCAAGGUCAAUAACAGCCUCCAACCAGCAGCCUUUGAGUGGUCCGGGGAAUUUCAAUUCCCCCUGGAAUCAGAUGCAGAGCUGGACCGCUUUGAGGCCUGGCUGGCGGACCCUGCCAACGAUAGGCAGAAACAUGCCCUUGUGAAUACCCUGUCUGCUGUCGGGGGUGUGGAUUUGAAGAGGGUGACAUGGAACAUUCUGUCAUACCUGUUUUCCUGCCCCCUUUCCUGA
rnacentral:lncRNA from 1 species